rnacentral:lncRNA from 1 species
GUAUACGCUAUAUAUAAACUGUUUCAAAAAUCCCAUAAAUAAAUGAAUGUUUUUGAAACAUUCAUAUCCCUAUGAUUUCUGUUGAAAUGUGAGAGACCUGUGUAGAUAGAUGCCCCUAGGGCUUCAUUUUUUACCUGUUGGGGCAAAUGAAGGAAUCAAGUCUGACCUGAAUGAGAUGAUUGCAAUACUCAGGCCUGACUGAAUUGGACAACCAAUUCUUAGGAGGAAUUUAGCAAACAUUGGUGGUGCUAAACAGGCUUUUCUUGCUCUCAAAGUGUUUUUCUUAACUCUUCGAUUAGGACUUGACCAAGACCUGACAGACAGGUCCUGAGCUCUGGUGACACAUAGACACCUGACUCCUUGGUAUCAGUUUAGGAGGUCCCUCACUUCCUGGGGAGCAGUAAAUAAGGCUUCUCCCUCUAUAAACAAGCUGCUUGGGUUAAGGAAAGCACCCUUAAGCACCUGUUACUGUUUCCAAACUUCCCUAGCCAUGCCCACAUCCAAACCUCUAAGCCUCAGAACCCUCACCACAAUACUGCAAAUAAACUGAUUUUAUUUAUUCCUAAUAGGCAGAUACUUAAUAUCCACUUCCUCCCAUCACUGACUAGUGUCACUUGUGUUCUGAUGUUCUGGACCUAGUAAUAUUUACCUUGUCUUUUUUCUGUUGAAGAAGCUGCCAAAUCCUUGGGAGGAGAAGGACACCGAGGGGGGGGCAUUUAAAAGUCUCCCUAAAAGAAACUACAAAGCUAACAGUCUCUGAGUCUCAUAGUUUCUCUUGAGAAGUGAGUUGUUGAUCAGCUUUUCUUGAGUCCCACUGUGAACACAAAGUUGUGCCCAUGAUCCUGCUGUGGUGUCUUCCCAGAAGAGUGGAGCUCAAGGGAGACUGGGAAUGGAAGAAGCAAGAAGUUCUGACAAUACCAAUUGUUUAGGUCUAGGAUCCAUUGAGGUAGCCUGGUGGAUAAAAGGAAGCCUAACAAUGUGAGUUAAUCCUCAGGACCCACAUGGUGGAAGGAGAGAACCAGCUCUCACGAGUUAUCCUCUUCACAUAAGCUCUGAAACAUGUGAAACAUGCGGAACACGUGCCCCUUCCCCCCACCGCUGCUGUCCCACCACCACACUAGUGCUACCCGAAGCCUUGGUCAGAGAAGCCUGUUCUUGCAGUGGUGUCAGAGACUGGUCAAAAUGCUGAGAGUCAGUGUCUGCUGAGUCAUCAGCCCUAAAGGAGGCACCCUCACCUCCAAGGCUCAGAGAACAUCAAAGAAUGGAAAGAAUGCAAACCAGCCUUCUGGACUCCAC